rnacentral:rRNA from 1 species
UACGAAGGGGGCUAGCGUUGCUCGGAAUCACUGGGCGUAAAGCGCACGUAGGCGGAUUGUUAAGUCAGGGGUGAAAUCCUGGAGCUCAACUCCAGAACUGCCUUUGAUACUGGCGAUCUCGAGUCCGGGAGAGGUGAGUGGAACUGCGAGUGUAGAGGUGAAAUUCGUAGAUAUUCGCAAGAACACCAGUGGCGAAGGCGGCCAUCUGGACCAGCACUGACACUGAGGCACGAAAGCGUGGGGAGCAAACAGGG